AGUGAACGCUGGCGGUAGGCCUAACACAUGCCAGUCGAACGGCAGCACAGUAAGAGCUUGCUCUUACGGGUGGCGAGUGGCGGACGGGUGAGGAAUACAUCGGAAUCUACUUUUUCGUGGGGGAUAACGUAGGGAAACUUACGCUAAUCCCGCAUACGACCUACGGGUUAAAGCAGGGGAUCUUCGGACCUUGCGCGAUUGAAUGAACCGCUGUCGGAUUAGCUAGUUGGCGGGGUAAAGGCCCACCAAGGCGACGAUCCGUAGCUGGUCUGAGAGGAUGAUCAGCCACACUGGAACGGAGACACGGUCAAGACUCCUACGGGAGGCAGCAGUGGGGAAUAUUGGACAAUGGGCGCAAGCCUGAUCCAGCCAGACCGCGUGGGUGAAGAAGGCCUUCGGGUUGUAAAGCCCUUUUGUUGGGAAAGAAAAGCAGCAGGUUAAUACCCCGCUGUUCUGACGGUACCCAAAGAAUAAGCACCGGCUAACUUCGUG
rnacentral:rRNA from 1 species